UGAUUUCUCGAUAAAAUAUAUACCACUCUGAAAAUCUAAAAUUUUCAUUUAUCAGAUGAGAAGACCUGCAAAUUUCAGUGUCAGAUAUCUUCACAUUCCUUUCAUGCAAUCUUCCAUAUGUGUCCCCUCUUAUCUAAAAUUAAAAAUCUAAAAAUUCUAUUUAUCAUAUCAGAAGACCUGCAAAUUCCUUUCAUGCAAUCUUCCAUGAGUCUUCUAUGGAAGAUUUCUCCCUGUAUCUUCCAUGCAACAUUCCAUCUGUCCAACAUAUUGUAUCCAUGUUUCUCUAUAAAUAUCAUCAAUCUACUCAUCUAUCAUCAACAAAUCAACCAUCAUCUCUCUUGACACAAAGAUGACUAACUCAGGGUGAACUUGAAGAAGGAUGUGCUUAUGUUUUUGAAAAAUUUAUGGUUGCUUAAAACCAUUGACAAGAGAAAAAAGAAUCUUCCCUAUUUUUUGAACAUAUUGGAUUAGCAUGAAAUCAAUGAAAAGAGAGUCAUGCAUACUUUCCAAGAUGGAAACCUAUGAGUUUGAGUUUCAUAGUGCAAGUGUUUUGUUUGUCAUUUUUUAGCUUCUUUUGAUGAACAUGAAAUAUAUAAGUGGUUUGUAAAAAAUUGAAUUGAGAAUAUUUUUAUGAACAAGAAGA